AACGUAGGUGGCGAGCGUUAUCCGGAAUUACUGGGCGUAAAGCGUGCGCAGGCGGUUCGUUGUGUCCGAUGUGAAAGCCCCGAGCUUAACUUGGGAAUGGCAUUGGAAACUGGCGAGCUGGAGUGUGGCAGAGGGGGGUGGAAUUCCACGUGUAGCAGUGAAAUGCGUAGAGAUGUGGAGGAACACCGAUGGCGAAGGCAGCCCCCUGGGCCAACACUGACGCUCAGGCACGAAAGCGUGGGGAGCAAACAGG
rnacentral:rRNA from 1 species